GCCGCGCCCGCCGUCCUCGCCGCGGUCUUCUCUUCAGGCGCCUACCGCGGCUGGCAAGUCCCUGCUGGCAGAGCAGCGGAGGUCCCCGAAUCAACUUUCAAUUCCCCCUCUGCUUCUGCCUCACCAUUCUCUUCUCCGCGAAAGAUGGCUGUUUGGAGAAGGGGGCGAAGUUAGGGGGUCCUCGGCGCGGGGCGAAGGAGGGCGCGACAGCCUCGGCGGGAGCGGACGGAGGUUUCCCCUUUCCCAGCCUCUCGUGGACCAGCGUUACCAGCUGAAGGAAGGUUGUGAAUCUGCAUCCCAGCCCAUUAGUCCUUCUCCUGAUUCCCGUGAUGAGUUCACCAGUGCAGCCUGGUCAGUUUGGUUGUUUCUUAAGCUAUUAACAGAUGUAAUAUGAAAGAUGUUGCUUUGUGUUGCUUCAAACCAAGCAAUUUAACUUAUGAAAGGACUUUUUAUUCUGAUGAGGAUGUGUGGAUACAAUGAAUUUUGAAUUUUGUGUUCUAUAGCUAAUCCUUUGUUAUGUAACCAUCUUGCUUUCCAGGCAAUUAAUUUCAUUUGAAUUAUUAUCUGAGCACUGGGCUUUAGUUCUUCUGCUAAUGUAACAUUUGGAUUGAAUUUUAUGAAGUUAUAAAUAUUUAUUAAAUAUGUUGUAGGCAUCUAAUUCAUAUCCAUAGUCUUUCUGAGUCCGUGUCUGUAUGUUUUAAAUUGUGUCAUAGGCUUUGGAUAUCAGCUUGUGGACUCAUUUUCCUCCUCCUUCUCUUUGACACACAGGAAGGAUAUUUCUCCUCCCUGCCCUUCUUUGCUGCCACUCCUGUUUCCUACAUACAUGUUUAAUUAUAAUCUCAGCACCUGCUUCCUCUGAGUCCAGUGUAAUGUGUGGCUCAUGUAGUGUUGUGAUAAGCACAGCCAACACCCAUUUCUCCAGGAACAGGGUGUCACUUUGGGAACAAACACAAUCCAAGUCUUAAAAAUGAUGGAGUAGUUUCAGAUAUCAUAUGUUAAACAUAGAGAAAUUUAAAAAGAAUUUUCUGUUUGAAUCAUUGUAGGAGUAUUUAUUUCUAUAUAUUCUUUAAAAAAAAAUCUCUCAGCACGUUGGUAUCUUUGAGUUAUCCAACUCCUGAGGUUGAAGCUAAUGUAAUAUUUUAUUCAGAGUUUAUAAAGGGAAAUCUUUUGCCAAGAUUUUCAGUCUGUGGAGUGCCACACCCAGAUCAGCUGCUCUGGAAUUCCAAUGUCUCAUCAACCUUUCCCAGAGCCCCAACAGGCUGCCAGCUUGUAUGUUGAAUUUGGAACUGAAAGGUUUUGGCGCGUACAACUGUAAUUGUUGAUUCUAAAUGAUGUAGUAAAGAUAUUCCAGAAUCUUUCUUCACAAUCAUGAUUUAUAAUUGGCGUUGUCAUCUGAAUAAGCACAUGAAGAGUUACACAGGCCUCUUAUCUCUGAGUCCUUGCAGUGCAGUGUUUCUCCAACUUUAGCAUCACUGGGAGGGCUUGUUAAAAUCAAGCCCCAUUCUCAAAGUUUUUGAUUCAGUAGAUCUUAGGUGGGUCCCAGGAAUUGUGAUACUUAUAAGUUUCCCCCCGGUGAGGCUACUGCUGCCUGAGGACUACACUUUGGAAAGCACUGAUCUAGCUUGCUAGUCCCGUUCCUUCCUCCACCUCUGCUUGCCUCCAUCCUCUCCUCCCUCCACACCCCCACCCUUACAGGCAGCCCUCUGUGCAUUACUUAUCACAAUUAUGGUGUAUUAUUACUGUCCUUUCUAUUGAGUUGGACUUAAAAUGAUGUGUGUGUUUUAUAUAUGCAUAUAUUACAUUUAAAUAUACAUUAUAUAUUGAUUUGUAUAUAACUUUAAUGUUUCAAAAUUACAUAAUUUAAAAGAGGCAUUUAAUUUAGAACUACCAUAGUCAAACAUUUUUUUUUCUUGUGGUAGAAUAUGUUAGAGUCAUUAAAAACAUAUUACAAGCAAUUGGAACAAAUUGGCUAAGUAUGAAUGUGGCAGAAAAUUUCCUCCAUUUCUAAAGUUACUGUCUAAAAUUUAUAUAGGGGAUUGUCUUUAAUUGUAAAGGACAGAAAUUAGACUUUUAUAAAAUUGUCCCUGUCCCUUUAUUCUCUGCCUUCCUCCCCCAUAUCCUGUCCACAUUGUUUACCUCCCAGUUUUACUUCACAGAAGAGUGGCAGGGCAGAUUGAACCAUGGGAAAAUGGAAUUUUUGACAGUGACAGCAACUGUAUCCAAGUGAAACAUUUGAAAUGGCAUUUCUAUGUAAUCAUUAAAUGGGUAAAAAGUGCAGAUACCCUUGAUGGUUGAAGGUUGAAGGAUGCAACUAUAUGGGGAAAUUUUGAAUCCAAAUUAUAAUAAUUAAACCCAAUUUAUCAUACUUAACUAACUUGUAAAUAGUGCAAGUACAGCAAUUUCAGUGUCUAUAUGGUCUUUUUUUAGCAUCUUUCUAGGAUGUAUGGACUUGGACCCGCUUAUUUUUUUCUUUCCUUUUUAAAUUUAAGUAUAAUUAAUGUAUAAUAAUAUUUAUUUUACAGGUUACAGUAUAAUGUCACAAUUUUUAAAGCUUAUACUCCAUUUAUAGUUAUUAUAAAACAUUGGCUAUAUUUUCUGUGCUGUAUAAUAUAUCCUUGUAGCUUAUUUUAUACGUAUUGGUUUGUACCUCUUAACCCCUUAACCCCAUAUUGCCCCUUCCCUCUUCCCUCUCCCCACUGGUAGCCAACUAGAUUGCUCUCUAUAUCCCUGAGUCUGUUUCUUUUUUGUUACAUUCACUAGUUUGUUGGGUUUUUUUUUAGAUUCCAUGUAUCUGUCUUUCUUUGCUUUGUUUCACUUAGCAUAAUACCCUUCCAGUCCAUUCAUCUGUUGCAUAUGGUAGAAUUUCACAAUGGACCCACUUAUUUUUAAUGCGAAACAUGUAAUACCAUUAGACACUAUCGUAAGUGGUUAGACUUCCAGUUUAACCCAUUGAACCCUACUUAAAGAUAACUACUUUGCAGUGAAUGAAUACAGAAAAAUUUUGACAGCCUUUGAAAAAGAGAAUCAAUACAAUGUAGUAAGGAAUAUUUAAAAAUUUUGCAUGUUUAGAGAAAAGUGGACCAAUUUGACAGGAAAACAAACAAGUGAGAAAAUUUGAUGGAGAUAGUUCAUGUGAACUAUGGGCACCUUAGAUCAUUUCUCAGAAGGAUCAGCAUUACUUCUAAUUUCAUUCUAAAAGUAAUGAUUUUGGGGAGGCCAGUGUUAGGGUGAUUUCACUAUUCCUUUUCUCAUCUUAUGUAUGGAACAGAGGGAGGAAAUGGUGUGUGUGUGUGUGUGUGUGUGUGUGUAAAAUACAUGGUCAGAAGUAACAUUUACUGAACUUUGUGAGAUAAAGAAGAAAAGGAAAACAGAAGAGUGCAUGCAUCUAACGCUUAAGGGAGAAGAAGGAAACAUGAUUAAAGAGGAUUUGAGGUUAAAUAGAAAUCUUCUUGUCCAUGCAGUGUAUGUUGUUGGUUAUGUAGAAAGUGGCUGUGAAGUCAUGCUUCAAGGCGCAUGUGAAGACAGAGAUGUAUAUGUAUAGCUGUGUGUGUAUGUAUAGCUCAGCUUCUUAUGCUCAGGAUGAUAACAAUUUAUAGCAUUAUUUUAAAAUACAGAGUUCCUGUAUGUAAAUGGAAUACUUAAGAUGGUCAGAUACAUUGGACUUCUUUUCAAAAACACAAAGUGAAGUAAUACCAAAGACUUUGAUUAAUUCCACAUAUACCUGACACUGGCUCACAACUAGUAAUAUUUGACGGUUGCAAUCAGCAUACACUGACCCUGAGAAUGUUGAUUUUAUAAUUUGAAAAUGUCCUUUGAGGCUGCUAUUUUGAUGAGGAAGUUCUUGCUGGCCAUGAUACUUGUUCAGCUAGAAGAGGGAGUGAGAAAUGAGACAGCCACAAAGUGAAGCUCAUUUGACUUUUGAGUCAUUAAAAUUUCGUUAUGUACUUUCUUUCCUAUGCAUGAUUCUAGUCUGGUCUGUUGAGAACAGCAUUUUACAGAGGGGUUUUUUUUUUUUUUUUUUUUGGUCUUUUUGUCUUUUAGGGCUGCAGUCACAGCAUAUGGAGGUUUCCAGGCUAGGGGCAAUUGGAACUGUAGCCAACAGUCUACUCCAGAGCCAUAGCAACACUGGAUCCAAGCAGCAUCUGCGACCUACACCACAUCUCAUGGCAACGCUGGAGGCCAAGGAUCGAACCCACGUCCUCAUGGAUGCUAGUCAGGUUUGCUAACUGCUGAGCCAUGACAGGAACUCCUACAGCGGUCUUAAUCAAUUGUGUUUGGGAAGUUUUUAUGAAUGAAGUCUGAACUGAAGAAAGUCAUAGCAAAUAGAUCAGGUGGGUAGGAAUCCUAUAUUUAUUGUAAGUACAAUCUAUGAUUAGAGACCUGAAAUGCAUUCUGCAUAUAAAAAGGAAAACGUUCUGGCCACAGGCAUUAAAACAUUCUUCUGCUACUAUUAGUGUGUAUCUUAUGAUGCCAUGUAUUUUCUACCGGUAAGAAAUAACCUAAUUGUUUGACUUAAAAAAAGGAUUUUUCUUACAUCUCCUUUUAAAAAAAAACUACGUAAAGGGAAUUAAAUCGACCUUGUGCAAUAAUCAUCCAUUUAUUUUGCUUUUGUUCCACGAGGGGCUCUAAAGAGUUAUUAUGCACCAGAAAAAGUAGACUUAACGUCGAUUGCUCCAGAAAUUCUUUAUAGUCAAUGUUUGAAAUAGAGUGGGUUUUUUGUGUUUUUUUUGAAACUUUUCUCUGGGAUAGUGUGAAGUCUUAUUUUCCCCAUGCAUUGAUCCCAUUCUCAUGAGAAUUUUAUCUCAAUAUUCAGCUAUAGUUGAUAUCAAGUACUAAAUAUUACUGUCUUGAUCAUGUGUUCAAUCAAACAAGAAGUACUGAUCUUUGAAUAUAGAAUUCACUGGUUUUUAUUUUGAUCUUGCUGCCCCAAGAAGGAUCUAAGUUAGAGUACUAGGUAUUGCUUUUGGACCCUGAGGAGCCUGAAUGGAGAGAAGACUAUAUGAAUAAGACUGGCAGCCAGCUGCUGCAAUUGAGAGUCAUUUAUUUAUUAUUUUAUUUUUUAAAUUACUCAACGAAUUUAUUACAUUUAUGGUUGUACAAUGAUCAUCACAAUCCAAUUUUGUAGGAUUUCCAUCCCACACCCCAGAGUCAUUCAUUUAAAUCUUAUUAAGCAUACAUUCUGUGUUAGGCAGUGGGGACACAAAGAGUACUAAAAACGUUUCCACCCUUUAUCAACAGUAUCAUUUAGUGGGGGAGACAGAGUAAAGAGUUUUGGCCCAUUCACUGUGUUAAGUGUUUUAAUAAAUAGGGGAACAGAAGUUAAUUUCUUCUGUACAGCAUAUAGGUGCCAUUUAGUUAAUUUUUAUCAGGAUUGCUAGGUGGCAGAAGAAACGGCUUUUAAGGCUCAUCUAAGCUAGAGUUUUCCUAACAUAUCAGAUAAUAAAAAUUAUGUGAUGUUCUUGUUAAGAAUACAGAUUCUAAGACCUCCCCCAUUCUCUCUGCCCUCCCCCCAAAGACUUAAUGCAGUAGAUCUGGAGGGGAUAUUAAAUAACAUAUUGCAUGUUGCUCUCCACUGUGACUUUUCAAAAGUCUAGAAGUGUUCUUUAAUUUGUCUGAUAAAUACUAGUGUUCCUCAUUGAGACUCUGGAAAAAUAAAAAAAUACAUCAUUAAAUUCUAUCUCAGUAUAGGUAUUUCUCCUGUGAGCUAAGCUGUAACUCAGGUAUCUUGCUUUCUGAUAAACAAAAAGAUAGUGCUGUUGAAAACUAGAGGAGGUAAUACUUUUCAGGAAAAUUGUAGGGCUUUAUGUGUAUUCUCUGCUAAUAAACCAUCAUGAUUUUAUGUGGAUUUGAACCAAAGAGAUUCUUAAUAAAUAGAGUACAUUUUUUUUCCUUAGAACAAAUUUCUAACUAAUUUAACCCAGGUCAUAUUUGUAGUAUGGUCCCAAAAUUAUAGAAAACAUGAUUUGUGCCUGGAUGUUUUUAAGAGUAAAUGAAUUAGGCUGCAUCAACCCUAGAAUGAUUCCAGUAUGACUUUUAAUUUUGAUGAAUCUAAUUUAUGUAAUUUAAUUUUGAUGAAUAGGCAACCAAAGGAAUUUUACAAACAUAGAGCACAGUGGAUGUGAUGCCCCCUGAAAUUACAUAAGGUUCUGGCCUUGUGGACUCUUCACUGAGUUUGAAUGGUAGAGUUACGAUAGCUGUAUGGCCAAGUCCUAUAACAUUAGUUUU
rnacentral:lncRNA from 1 species